rnacentral:rRNA from 1 species
GCGCGAUGAAGAACGCAGCUAGCUGCGAGAACUAAUGUGAAUUGCAGGACACAUUGAUCAUCGACACUUCGAA